rnacentral:tRNA from 1 species
CGGGGAGUGGCGCAGUCCGGUUAGCGCGCAUCGUUCGGGACGAUGAGGUCGGAGGUUCGAAUCCUCUCUCCCCGA